AGAAAGGAAACACGUGAGAGAGAGAGAGAGAGAGAGGAAGAAGAAAGGAGAAAGAGAGGGAGUUAGGCUCGGAUCUAGGAGUCUUUGUGACCGUUGCGAGCUCGGCUACACGAUAGAAAAUUGUUGGUGGAACUUAUUGAGAAGUAAGGAACAAGCCGAGCCCUAUUUUGUACAAGGGGAACCCUUUUAGUACCAAAGGGUUGAGGUCCAGGCGAAGGAUCCAGUGGUGGACGGGGAAAAGAGCAAAGCUAGGGGUUUGCUUGUGAUUUGUAAAGAACUGCAACCCCUUUCUUUUGAGCAAAUAUAUUGUAAUGUAUUUAAGAUUAGGGUGCCAGUAGGAUAUGAUUAUGUGUGUGUAUGUGAAUAUGUGUGGAUUGUGUGCUUGUGUAUGAAUUUUUGUCUAUUUGCAGACUUGUGGCUAGGAAACUUGGUUAUGGUGUGUGGUUUUGAUGGAUUUACUUAGUAGACCAAGUUUCUAUUACAAGCAGAUCUUUGUUUUGUUAUAUAUGUGAUUUUAUAAGCAAAUGCAAAGUGGUUGCAUUGCAAAUGGUGUGCUAUGGGCAAACAUACACCUUGGAUAGAGAGAGGGGGUGCGUGGGCCCCACAAGGAGCUCUGAGCCAAGUGAAAAUGUUUAGCAUAUGUAUUUAUAUAAAUACAUGGUAUUUGGAUUGAUUUGUGACCACUCUUGUAUGAUUUGUGUAUUUUGGGGGUUUAGGGUCCAUUUUGGGAAAUGGCACCCGGGUGGUCAAAUUUUGAUGUAUGGGGGUUUUCCAUCAUUUGAAUGUUCUAUCAAGUGUUUUUAAUCUUAUUUGACGUGUUCAAAGUGUUUCCACAGGUUUGUGACCAUUAGGAUGGGAUUUGGACAAUUUUGAAAAUGGUUUUUACCAAAAAGCUGCACUUUUGCAUCCGGGUGUCCAAAUCUUAA